rnacentral:tRNA from 1 species
GCCUCGGUAGCUCAAAGGAAGAGCAAUUCCCUUCUAAGGAAAAGGCUAUAGGUUCAAGUCCUAUCCGGGGUG